AGUCGUAAAGACGAGCGGAAACGCUUCAAAUUUGUCGUCGCACUUUCGCAACAAGCAUGCCGCAAUUUUUGCAAAAUGCGCCCAAAAGAAGCCAUCAGCGAAUUUUUGAAAUAGUACUUACAAUAACUGAAUCUUUCAAGACUGCUGCAGCUUUUAAAGAAAAUGGAUAUAAGGACAAAGGAGAUAAACGAAGCAUAAGUAUACAUGAUCUGUAAUGCAACCACUGGAGAUCGCAUAAGGCAACCUAGCCGGGCCUUUCAAGGUAGGCAUUUAAUAACACCCGGCUCGGUGCCAUCGGAGCGACUGGUAUCUGCUAUUAAAUGCGUAGUAUGCGAUACCCGUAGCCGAAGAGGGAUACGCAUAUAAAACAACGGGUUUUUCUUAAAUCUGUUAAUUCCCAAUAUUGGGCUUAGU